rnacentral:piRNA from 1 species
UGCAAGAGACAGUGAUUCAGGGUGGCAUC